rnacentral:rRNA from 1 species
CAGCCGUAAACUAUGCGCGUUAGGUGUACUGGUGACCACGAGUCACCGGGGUGCCGAAGGGAAACCGUGAAACGUGCCGCCUGGGAAGUACGGUCGCAAGGCUGAAACUUAAGGAAUUGGCGGGGGAGCACCACAACGGGUGGAGCCUGCGGUUUAAUUGGACUCAACGCCGGAAAUCUCACCGGAUAGGACAGACAUAUGAUAGUCGGGCUGAAGACUCUACUUGAUGAUCUGAGAGGAGGUGCAUGGCGUCAGUGACU